UAGCACAUCUCUAUAGCGUUUUUCUCGUAAAUGCUAUAAUUGCUCUUUAUAUCGUUUCCAAAUAAUAAAUCCAAAAAUAAAACGCUAUAACAUUGAAAUUUAUUGCGCUCAUUUUCCCGGGUCUCUAAAUAAAAUAUAUUAUGAGUGAAACAAAGCCCUAAACUCCGUUCCACCUCCCAAGGAUAAUCGUCUAAAAUUGAAACCCUCCAUUUCUCUCAAAUGUCGGUCUGCCGGCAAAACGCAAUCUUCGAUCCCAUCUCCACCACGAAUUUGUGAAUUUAUGUAUCGUCCCCUCUCAAAAUCGACCUCCUGGCGCACGGUUGUAUCCCUUUUCAAUCAGUAUUGGGGACGUUAUGCAAUACUAAAGACAGUGCAAAAGAGUUUGAUAAUAAUUAAAAAAAUGUUUUUCUUGAGUGGUAGCACAGCCUUGCAAGGUGGGCUUUCUAAGACAAUAUAGAGGGUGAUGAGGGUGCAUAUUGACUUAGCCGCGAAGCAUUGGACUGAUGUAUCUUUCUUUGUUGAUUAACUUAGACGAAGCAUUAACCUGUGGAAGAAUUUAUCAAUUUGACAUGUUUCCUCAAAGGGUAUAAGCAAGAUCACCACAUCAAGUUUGAUUUAUGGUGCUUAAAUAAGAUGAUCAAGUAUAUUGAAUGUGGUGGAACCAUGGCCAGAAGAUUGAAUUGUUCAUCUGAUGCACAGAGAAACAAGGAAUGGAAGACGAAUUAUGGCGUUCUCAAUUGAAUAUGCUGAAACAAUUGGAAGUGAACACGAUUCUUUUAGUUUUUCGAAAUAACAAUCUAAGUUCAGUUUAUAAGUUUUACUAUACCUAGUGAAGGGUAUCAAAUCGAACAGGAUAUGUACAUAAUUUAUUUUGUUAUUGUGAUAUAAUAUUCUUAGCCGUUCUUGUAUUAUCUUGAGUUUAAUAAAAAUACAUGUUAUUGUAUA